rnacentral:rRNA from 1 species
GACGAACGCUGGCGGCGUGCUUAACACAUGCAAGUCGAACGGAAAGGCCUGCUUUCCCUUGUGGAUUGCGGGUACUCGAGUGGCGAACGGGUGAGUAACACGUGAGUGAUCUGCCCCCAACUUGGGUAUAAGCCUGGGAAACUGGGUCUAAUUCCCGAUAGGACUGCAGGGUGGUGCCUGUGGUGGAAAACGAUUUUCUAGUGGUUGGGGAUGAGCUCGCGGCCUAUCAGCUUGUUGGUGGGGUAAUGGCCUACCAAGGCGGCGACGGGUAGCCGGCCUGAGAGGGUGGACGGCCACAUUGGGACCGAGAUACGGCCCAGACUCCUACGGGAGGCAGCAGUGGGGAAUAUUGCACGAUGGGCGGAAGCCUGAUGCAGCGACGCCGCGUGGGGGAUGACGGCCUUCGGGUUGUAAACUCCUUUCGACCGCGAGGAAGCCACCUGGUUGGAGGGGUGGUGACGGUAGUGGUAGAAGAAGCACCGGCUAACUACGUG